UACGUAGGGAGCGAGCGUUAUCCGGAUUUACUGGGUGUAAAGGGUGCGUAGGCGGCAAUGUAAGUUUGAUGUGAAACCUUAGGGCUCAACCUUAAGCAUGCAUCAAAAACUACAUAGCUAGAGUGCAGGAGAGGAAAGUGGAAUUCCUAGUGUAGCGGUGAAAUGCGUAGAUAUUAGGAGGAACACCAGUAGCGAAGGCGACUUUCUGGACUGUAACUGACGCUGAGGCACGAAAGCGUGGGGAGCGAACAGG
rnacentral:rRNA from 1 species